rnacentral:rRNA from 1 species
AGUAGUAUUAAAAUAAAAAACUCAUGCACUAUGGCGGUUUCCAUAUAUUAGAGAAACUCGCUUAUUAAUCGACAAUACUCGUUAAUUUUAACUUUUUUUCAAAAUUUAUAUACCGCCGUUUCAGAUUUAAUUACAAAAUAUAAACCAAACAAUUAACAAUCAAUUAAAAAUCAGGUCAAGGUGUAGUAAACAAAUAAGUUUAAGUAAGUUACAAUAAAAAUAAUUUAAGAAUCAAAUACUAAAAUACUACGUGAAAGAGAAUCUAUAUGUACAUAUUAAUUAAAAUCUAAUAUAGAAACUUAAAAUCGAAAC